CUGACCUCGAACCGAUUUGGGCGUGCAGAAAUCUGUUAAAAAAUGUUUUGAUGGAUUGUCAGAGCAUUACGGCUGCCAUAGUGAGGAGCUUUGCGGAGUAUAUGGGUCCAAAACUCCGUCCUCUUCAGGUCCCAAAGUCAAACGAACACAGAGUUAAAAACAGUCUAAAUUCUUUCAUCUUUAAUAAAAUCAUCAGCGUUGUUGCUUUACCAGGUGUAACAAUUAAGUUUAACAACCAGGCAUCCAUGAAAACAGAAGUUAUUAAAUUUAACGGAGUUAAUUAAUAUACUGCAACAACAUGGGAAUAGAACAGCUGCGAGAAGUUUCAACAUUAAUGAAUCAAUGUUACGGAAGUGAAGCGGAGUUUUUGGCUUUCCCCAUAUUUCAAAAGUGCUUCAUCUCUUUGCUAUGACUGUCGCCCGGCAUAAUUUGCAGAUGAUAAUGGUUGUAGCCGCUGUAACGCUUUCGACCAAAACAUGCGCAGCUUGAUGACAUCAUCAACAUGCGCUAUCUCAAUAGAGCAGUAUAGUCAAAAUCUCUAUCGUUGGCCAAAUUUAUAUCGUUUCUAUCGUAUAUCGUUUAUAUCACCCACCCCUAGCUUACAGCAUUCAAACAAGCACAGAAGCUGAUUUUAAUGUUCCUUAAAGCUUCACCAGGACAUGCAUGUAUAUAGACAUAUGAUAUAUAUAUCAAAAAUAAAUAAAUAAAUAAAAAAAAAGCACUUCCUGGGCUGUUGUGAUUGGCGGGUAAAUUUCAGAUGUCGGUUGUUUUCUUAUGUGGUUACAUACUUUCACACACGUACCAUUUUAAAGAAACAAACUUCAGUGAGAUUCGAUUAUGAACAACUUACACUUGAAAGUCUAAACUGUUAUGCGAGCUCCUGAAGCCACUGAUUCUGAUUAGUAACACCACGUCAGCUAAACUGUAAUGCAGAGGGAAUUUGCACAAGAUUCCAAGUUGAAUUCAUCUCUUCACCCAGAAAAAAAACCCCCAAAAAACACAUACCAUUCAUUUGUGUGUAUGAUUAUCUAUACGAAAGGUGAUUCACCACACUUUAAAUAUCAACUCUCACCAGUAAUUUGUCAUGCAACAGCCUUUAUAAGUAAUUUGUGAGCAGUCUGAGAUGGCUGGUAGAUGAACGCCACCAUCUCUGGGUUCUGAAUGGUUUAUGAACCUUGUAUCUGAAUUGGCUCUUGAACGCAGGGUUGAGUGCCUCAGGCUGCCUUCCAAAUAUGCAGCCCUUGUCAUUACAAUAACAUAUGAAGAGCAGACAGCCUGGGUUUGUCUCCUCCUUUGUAUCCACCCCUGUUUCCUUCAUCCAAUCAUCCCUCAGCCUCUCUCCUUUUAUUUCCUCAUGCAGUUCUCAUGCCUGGCCUAUUCACCAGCUUUUUAGAUGAGCACUACCAAAAUACAAAUUGCUUUAACACCAAAUUUCAAAACACAAGCAAGGAAACCCAGUUCCUCCUCCCCGUUUCUUCUCUCAGGGGUGAAAUUCCUUUCAGAAACAAAGGCCUUCAUUCUAGCUGCAAAGAUAGAAUGAAACACUGCUGAACCCAGCAUCAC
ensembl:lncRNA